GGAACAUUUCUUUGGCUUUUGAUGAAGCUGGAAAGUUCUGUUAUCCUCAAAGUAAAUGUGACUGAGUAAAAUUUCAGUCUUCAGCUGAUCAUGAAGACUGUGAAGUGUAUCAUCUCUUUAAUGAUCCAGGACUGGGAAAUGGAGAAGGAGGAAGAGCCCUUUCUAUCCAUGGGUCCACAGAGGAAGGGAACUAACCAGCUCCCCGACACCUGGGAAAACAGCUGAGUCCCUCCCCUCACCCUGGUCCUGAUUUUCUCCCACCAUUUACAUGUGCUGGAAUUUGCUG